GUGGGGAAUCUUAGACAAUGGGGGAAACCCUGAUCUAGCCAUGCCGCGUGAGCGAUGAAGGCCUUAGGGUUGUAAAGCCCUUUCAGCUGGGAAGAUAAUGACGGUACCAGCAGAAGAAGCCCCGGCUAACUCCGUGCCAGCAGCCGCGGUAAUACGGAGGGGGCUAGCGUUGUUCGGAAUUACUGGGCGUAAAGCGCGCGUAGGCGGAUUGGAAAGUUGGGGGUGAAAUCCCGGGGCUCAACCUCGGAACUGCCUUCAAAACUCCCAGUCUUGAGUUCGAGAGAGGUGAGUGGAAUUCCGAGUGUAGAGGUGAAAUUCGUAGAUAUUCGGAGGAACACCAGUGGCGAAGGCGGCUCACUGGCUCGAUACUGACGCUGAGGUGCGAAAGCGUGGGGAGCAAACAGGAUUAGAAACCCGAGUAGUCC
rnacentral:rRNA from 1 species